rnacentral:rRNA from 1 species
AAAAGAAACUAACAAGGAUUCCCUCAGUAACGGCGAGUGAAGCGGGAUAAGCCCAGCACCGAAUCCCCCAGCCUGUCGUUGGCGGGAACUGUGGUGUAUGGGACGCCAACUGUCGUCCGCGCCGGUGGCCGAAGUCCUCCUGAUCGGGGCCUCUCCCAGAGUGGGUGUCAGGCCUUUACUGGCCACUGUCCGGUCGGCCGCGAGCGUCUCCGGAGUCGGGUUGUUUGGGAAUGCAGCUCUAAGCGGGUGGUAAACUCCAUCUAAGGCUAAAUACUGGCACGAGUCCGAUAGCGGACAAGUACCGUGAGGG